GCCCAAAAAAGAAAAAGACUGCUUCUAUUUCUCUGCUAGGGUUUUGCCCUAGCUUCUGCCGCCGCUCGAACAUGCCACCGUUCGGAAACUCACGAUCCCCGUCCAAACUCCGAUCGCGACGAAGCGGACAGGGAUGCGACGGCCGUCCUAAAGGUAAAUCUUUACUUCUCUUUCCCUUUCUAGUAUUUUGCGUAAAAAUGAAACGAUGAAGGAAAAUAAAAACUGAGAAUCAUCUCUGAAAAAGGAUCAGUCGAUCUUUUUAUUUCUGUGUUUUUUUAUUUCAGUAUGUCUCCCUCUUUUUUUUACAUUCAAUUCUCCCCCCUCUUUUCGUUUAUAUCUAUAUAUACGAAAAAUGAAAGAACAGAAAAAAAUGCAAAGAAAGAAAAAAAUAGAAAAAGAACCACCUUUGAGAAAAACUCAAUCGAUCUUUGAUUUCUCUUUUUUUGAUAUAUUUCCCUUUGUCUGAAAAAACUUACAAAUUUUGAAAGUGGCCUUAUAUCCGAAAAAAUGAUAGAAUCAAAAUAAAAAGAAAAUUACAGAAAAAUAUUGCCUAUCUUCUGCCCUUUGCUCUCAUUUGCUGUUGUUUUGUGUUCGUUUUGUCUUGUCUGCUUGUGCAGGUACGGCCGUACGGGGCAGUGGACGUGGCGUGGAGCGUGUGGGAGGAGCGGACGUGUGUUGGCGUUGGUGGCUGAAGGGGGAGUUAGAAACCCUAGGGUUUCUGUUUUCUGAAAUGUAAUAGGCUACUGGGUGUUAGGCUUGUGCAACCGGGUUGGGUUUAGGUUGGUAUUUCAGGUUAGGGUAGAGUUGGGCCAUUUGGGUUUUAAAUGGAUUAAUAGUUUUGUAAAUGGACUGUGCUAUUUUUGGACUUUUAAUUUUUUAUUUAGCUUAAUUUUGUUUGUGAUUUUGGGCUGGGCAGAAAUAGGGUAUUACAGCUGUAAUAACCCAAAUUUGCCCGGCCCAAAUUAGAAAUAAAUAAACAAAAAUAAACCAAAAUAAAAUAAACCCAAAAUCUUAAAAUGUCCACAGUCCAUUACAGCAGGUAUAAUAGGGCCCAAAUCGAAAAUUAAACCCAAAACCCAUUAGCCCAAAUUACAUCAAACCCGAGCCUAAAAUACUCUAACCCAGUUUACAUGGCCCAAACCACCUAAGCCCUAAAGACCAAAAUCAGAAAACCCUAGCAGCUUGUAGCAAGCUUCAACGCCGCAGCCACCAGGGUCUUCCCUCGCACGUGCGCCACCGCCACGUGCCACGCCGCUACGUGCCAUGCCUCCAUACACUGCGCCGAGCCACGCACACCUCCGUACGGCCACCUCCGAACUUCCAGGCUAGCCGAGUACCUGCAAAAAAGACACACGAAAACAACAGCAAAUAGGAAAAUAACAUAUAUAGGAAUAUUUUGAUUCAUUUUUAUUCUCUAUUUUUUCUAUUUUCUGGAAAUCGGGCUAUAAGAAGACCGAUUUGAGUGCUGUAAUUUUUUUUACGCAUUCAGAAUCAAAGAUCGAAAUACUAAAGAGGUG
rnacentral:lncRNA from 1 species